GAUGGAAAAAGGAGUGGGAAUAGGAGCACGGAGACACCGGAGGGAGCUCGCCUGAGGCCUUUUCCCUCUUCCAACAGCGGAGGAAGAGAGAAGGGAGCCUGCUAUUGCACCACCACUCAGUUUCUUUCAGUCCAGGGUGGUAGCCCAGUUGUCUCCUCCCCGCGGUGGAAGCGCGGCGACCGUGGCGGCACCAGCACAGCCGUUCUUUCCGCCGCCUGCUUUGCCCGGCCGCCGCCGACAAUCUCCAUCCGCCAUUAUUCUUUGUUCGUUACGCGGGGCCCGCCGUGGCGGUUGCGGCCGGGUUCGGCGAGGCGACGGCAAUACUGACAAGGGGAGGUGGGAAAUAUAUGCGACAGGGGGGAGUCAGAGAGGAGGCCCCAUCUUGACUUAAAAAGAAAAGGGGAGAAAAAGAGAGGAAGCGGGCGCCCCUCCUGCUGAGCGAGGCCAGGCCCAAGCCGAACCUCGGUUCUCUCUCCCCCUCCCGGCCUCCAAGCUCCCCUCGAUCGCCUUCUUCCCACCAACACCCGCCCGCCAAACAACUCCGCCUCAACGGCGGCCGCUGGUGCUGCUGGCCCCGCCGCCGCCGCCCCUCCCUGUUUUUCUUCUGUUGGUCUUUCUCUCCUUCCUUCUCUCUGCUUUUCUUUGCUUUUCUCCUCUUACCGGCUACAGGCUGCUCCGUCACUGCUUUCGUUCGCGCCUAGGCUCUCGCCGCAGUUUUAUUCUCUCCCCCACGUAACACACCGCGUCAAACUACACCUCCGCCGCGUCACUCACAUAACACACACACGCUCUCUCAGGCUCUCCCAGCCCCGGCGACAGGCAAGCAGCAGCGGCCGACUGAGGGGGAGAGAGAGGAGCCAGCCAGGGAGCAAGCGCCGCCGAGCAUGCCUCGGCUCUCCUCCCUCUCUCUGCCCCCCCUGAACAGCCAGCGCACACCCCCUCCCUUUCUUAGACACACGGAAACAGCCGAACGGCCACCGCGGAAAAGCCCGAAGACGGGUGCUCGAUGGCGGCGGAAACGAAGGACCAACCGAGUGAAAGCAAGCGACGGAAGUAAUGGAAGCACUCGUCAUCGUUCAGCGGCGAAAACUCCCGAACAUGAGCGAACAAAACCGACAGCGAGAACGAAGAAAGAUAAAGAGAACAAGCGAAUAACACGUCGCUCGGCUCUUCAGCUGGCUGCACUUCACGGAAAGAGCCGAAGUUGUUUUUGUAAUUCGCGGCUGGGGGAGGGGGCGUGAAUACGAAGAGGAGAAAUGUGAAGAAAAUCUGAGGCGUCGUAACAACAAGCCAGGGCUUGAGACUGACCUAAAGUCAAUUCUCCUUCUGUCUCCAUUGAUGCUGUAAAACACAUUUUUGUUGCGCCGCCCGCCCACCUGAACGAGAGUGGUGCUCUGUUCCCUGGAGAUGUAGUAAAGACAAUGACUUAUACAUCAUGUCUAUACUAAAAAGAAAAAAAUAGUCGUUUCGCUCAGGAAACACAGAAACAUAAUAUUCAUGGCCUUUAUUCUAAUUUUUUAUGGUGACUAUGUAAAGAAAAUGGGUUCCGGGCUAGAUAAUGGCCCAGUCACUGCUGGUAUGGUCAGAAUCCAAAACUGGGCCAGCUAGGCCAUUUGUCAACCCUCAACUUCACCUUUCCAUCUCCCUACCUGUCAGCACCAUCUGAUUGGCCACUGAGAACAUAAUGCUGGAUUAGAUGGGCCUUUGGCCUAACCCAAAAUUCUCAAGUGCAGUCACUCUUCAGAACAACCCCAUAACUGCCCCUUCAUAUACAACAAAAAAGGAAGAGCAACAAGAUUGCAAGGGGCAAUGAAGCAUGGGUAACAUGAAGACCUGUAGUAUUUGCAGGUUGGAAACAGUCUUUCAUCUACUACUACUACUACUACUACUAUUACUACUGUGCCUAUGAACCAGUGUUCACCAACACCACCUCCCCCUUUGGGAUGUAUUAGUAAUAGUGCAAUCCUUACCAAAUCUACUAAGCCCCACCGAACUCAGUGGGGCUUGUUCCCUGAUAAAUGGGGUUAGGAUUGCAGCCUAAAAUUGUAAGAGCUAGCUGCUGGUGGUGGUGCUGGCUUCAGACUACGACCUCAAUUUAGCAAGCAAUUUUCAUCAGAGCUUGGGUGGACACUAGGCAGGUAGUGUGUGUACAUACAUGUUUUUGAUGAGGUUAUUGCCACAAAUGAUUCCUAGGUAAGAUAUUUGGAUUCAAAAUCCUAACUUUUUGGGGAGGGGAAUAGUGAAUGAUAUGGGUGGUGGUGGCUGGUAACAUUUUGACUUGGUAGGGGCUGCAAUUUUAAACCUUGCUGUUUUCAUCACAAUAGGAAAGUAUGCCAUUACACGUAUAUGCAGAG